UACGUAGGGGGCAAGCGUUAUCCGGAUUCACUGGGUGUAAAGGGAGCGUAGACGGCCAUGCAAGCCUGGAGUGAAAGCCCGGGGCCCAACCCCGGGACUGCUCUGGGAACUGUGCGGCUGGAGUGCGGGUGGGGCAGGCGGAAUCCCUGGUGUAGCGGUGAAAUGCGUAGAUAUCAGGAGGAACACCGGCGGCGAAGGCGGCCUGCUGGACCGCGACUGACGUUGAGGCUCGAAAGCGUGGGGAGCAAACAGG
rnacentral:rRNA from 1 species